CAUCAGACCAUUCCUGCGCUCCACUAUAGCCAGCUGCUCCUUCAGGUCAUCAUUCUCCCUCAGGGCAUCGUCUAAAUGGAGCUGGGAGUCCUUGAAAGCCUCAGAGCAUCAUUUCUGCUCCUGACCUCGGCGUCCAGCAUGGUUUGCAUGGACUCUAAUACCCUCUGGUGAUUCCUCUUCAGCUGUUGAAUCUCCUCAUCUUUCUCUGCAGUCCUUCUGUCAACGUCUGACUUCACCUGGUUCAGCUCCAGCUGAACACGCGCUGGGCCAGCUUCUUCCUGCAGGAUGGGACAUUCAGCUCUGAGGAAAAGAAAAUUCUGACCUUCUCAGAAAAUGGACAUGGAAGGAGUUUGGAAUGGGGAAGAUGGGCACAGAGAGCAAUAUAUAAUGCUGUGGUGCCAGGAGCCUGGGGGUGGCACAGCAGUCUGAAGUGGUGCAUAGAUUGAGAGGAUAAGAACGGUACCAAUGUGGAGAUGGACCAAAAAUAUGCUUUCAAUACUGACAGGGUAAAGAAUGUGCUCUUUCAACUACUAUGAUUAACUCAGUACACUGGAAUCCUCCUUUAUGUGGACACCUCUAAGCCUCCACCCCUACUUUUCCUUUAAAUAUCCACUUACCCCCCUUUUCACUUCCAAUACAUUAAAAAGCACACUGCAGUGCAAAUUUCCACUACAAAUAUAUUCUGGUUUCCUUCAGCUCUGCCUUCAUUAUGCUUAAAUAUCCUUCUACUUGCUCCAAGCCACUCCUCCACAUACUUGGCCUCCUCGAGCUCCUCCGUGCGCUGAAUCGCGUCCGUCUCGUAUUUGGUUCUC